CGCAGGUCUGAUCCCUGGGUCGGAAAGACCGCCUGGAGGAGGAGAUGGCAACCCACUCCAGCGUGCUUGCCUGCAGAAUCCCAUGGACAGAGCAGCCUGGCGGCUUACAGUCCACAGGGUCACGAAGAGUUGGUUGCCACCAGUGUUAGCAGCAGCAGCGUUAACAAUUGCCAAGUAAAUGGCUGUAAUUUGGGUGUGUCCAUGGAAGGAGAUAAGCUCAGGGUCUUCCUACUCUGCCAUCCCGGGCACCUCCCCAAAUUCUGCUCGGCAGCGAGAGCGGAGGGUCUUAGCCUCUGUACUGCCAGGGCAGUCCCCAGUUCUGCACUGUUUUGGUGGAAGUUUCCCAUAAAACAAGAAUGAAAACCCUGGUACCGCAGAUGGAUGGAAAGGGGAAAUUUUUGUGGCUAACAUAUGGGAACAUAUGGUAGGACCGAUCAUAGGAAGGGCUGAUCGUCUAGAAAGGGUAGCCUUUAUAUAAAGAAAAUAAUGUAAUAGUAGCUCCUCAGACUUCAAAGGAGUACCUAUCCUCUCCUACCCUCAGCUCACAAAUCUUCUUAAUUUUAGGGUGAAAGCUCAUAGUAAAAUUAUACACUCUAAGUAAGGAAAUGCUCAAAAUUUUAAAAAGAAGAUGACGGAAAUCCCACAAUGAUGGGAGUGCGUCAAAGGGACACGGGAGCCAACUGAAAGAGCUGGGACAGUUUGAGAAAUAAAAUAAAGUAGUGUUGGAUCAUAACUCAGGUAGAAAGUAACUAUCCAUGAGUCCAUACUAACGUAAGGAAAUGAUUCAAACUCUUGAGUGGAGACAAGCCUCCCGUGGAGGUCAGAUGAUUUACGGAGACGCUGCAGCCUCCGGGGUGUGAGUGGAGCCCCUUCCCACCCUCACGUGUGUGCACAGUGACCUCCCCCAUGAGCACCGCGUGGAGAGCCUGGGUUUGGACGGGGUAACCUCGUGGUGGAGAAGCCUGUCAGACUCCCCCCAGCCAGUGAUCAAGGCUUCCGUGUCAUCUGUGAUAAGGCACGUGGAUAAAGUGUCGCCUGGGAUAAGGCACAUGGAUAAAGUGUCGUCUGCGAUAAGGCACGUGGGUAAAGAGUUUCCUUGACGUGCUGUGCUGAGCUCCCCUUCUGCGGUCUUCCUCCCCAGGGAUGCAACAUUAGACAGAUCGCCUCAGUCUCACCAUGAGAAGCUGGGGGAGGGCAUGGCAGCCCACUCCAGCAUUCUUGCCUGGAGAAUCCCAUGGACAGAGAAGCCUGGUGGGCUACAGUCAAAAAGAGUUGGAUACAACUGAGCGAGUAACACACACACACACACACACACACACACACACACACACACCCAUGAGAAAGCAUCAGACAAGUUCCAAUUGAGGGACGAUCUACAAAGUACCUGACCAAAACCUCAAGACUCUCAAGGUCACCCCGAAUUUCCUCUGAGCAAGUGUCACAGACCAGUGCCAUCUACCAAGACAUGCUGGCUGAAUGUAAUACGGUGUGUUAGAUGGAAUCCUGUAAUGAUAAAAAAGACAUGAGAUAAAAAACAAAGGGAGUCUGAAUAAAGAGGGGCCUUGAUAGUAACGCAUCAACAUGGUUAUUAAUGGUAAGAAAUAGAGCAUGCUCAUGUUGUUCUGUAUUUGGCUUCCGUGGUGGCUGAGCAGUAAAGAAUCUAUCUGCCAAGGCAGGAGAUGCAGGUUGGAUCCCUGGGUCGGGAAGAUCCCCUGGAGAAGGCAAUGGCACCCCACUCCAGUACUCUUGCCUGGAAAAUCCCAUGGACGGAGGAGCCUGGUAGGCUGCAGUCCAUGGGGUCACACAGAGUUGGAUACGACUGAAGCGACUUAGCAGCAGCAGCAGCAACAAUUGCUUAGUAACAGUAACAAAUAAACCAUACUCGUAGAAACUGUUAAUAAUAGGGGAAACUAGGUGUUGGGCAUAGGAAGCUCUCUGUACUUUUUUUUUUAGCAAUUUUUUGUUAGUCUAAAACUAUUCUAAAAUAAAACAAUUUUUUUUUUUUUUUUACUGACCACACCACAUGGCACGUGGGAUAGAUCCUUCACCAGGAAUUGAAUCCAUGUUCCCUGAAGUGGAAGCACAGAGUCUUAACCACUGGGCUGCCAGGGAAGUCUCCAAACUUAAUUUUUUUAAGUGAAAAAACAUUAUAUGUACCUUACAAAUGUUUCUUUCACCAAACCACGUAUGUUCUGUAGAGUAAGAAGACCCUUUCUACGUUUCCCGAAGGGGAAGGGAACGCUCUGUGUGUGGAUCUGGGCACAGCCUCUAAAGCAGUUAGGGGAAAGGGGCAUUUAUUCUGCAGGCGGUUUAAAAGUAAAAGCACUCACCAUACUUUUUUUUUUUUUUUUGUACACUGCUUUCUCUGCUUCACAUAAAACUCACUCAUCAUAGUUUAUUAAAGCUAUUAGAUGUUCCAAAAGUAUGUUUCAUCUAACAAAGUACAUUCUGUGACCAUUUUGAGUAUACUUUUGGGAAAUAAGGAAAAAUAUGUAUCAUGGAAAACAGAUGGAGCUUUGGUACUGGCCUGGGUUGAAGGCAAACCUGCUUUGACCCUGGGCCUCUGGGAGCCCAGCUCGAACUGUGCCGCUUAGAAGAGCCUUCCACAUUAGGACAGGGAGGGAGGCAGUAAACUCAUCUGUGCAUGGACAUAAAAAUGGGUGCUUUGCCCUCUGGUCCAUCUGAGGGAGAACAGGAAUUGUGUUUCUCAUCUUAAAUGACGAACUCGAUGGUGCCAACAUUUAAGGACUCACUCUGAGAGGUGGUUAAGUUCUCUAUCUUCAAAUGAAACUAAUUUAUUUAUUAAGAGAAAUAGUGACAAUUUUCCAAGCGGCAAUUUAUUUCCAGUUCCAGGGAAGAUUCAACUGGUAGUAAGAGAAAAAAAAAGUUUUAGCAAGAGUAGUAGUAAUGCUCAGUUCAGUUCAGUUCAGUCUCUCAGUCGUGUCCAACUCUUUGCAACCCCAUGAAUUGCAGCAUGCCAGGCCUCCCUGUCCAUCACCAUCUCCCAGAGUUCAGUCAAACUCACGUCCAUCGAGUUGGUGAUGCCAUCCAGCCAUCUCAUUCUCUGUCGUCCCCUUCUCCUCCUGCCCCC
ensembl:lncRNA